AGAGUUUGAUCCUGGCUCAGAUUGAACGCUGGCGGCAUGCUUUACACAUGCAAGUCGAACGGUAACAGGGAGCUUGCUCCGCUGACGAGUGGCGAACGGGUGAGUAAUGCAUCGGAACGUACCCAGUCGUGGGGGAUAACGUAGCGAAAGUUACGCUAAUACCGCAUACGUCCUGAGGGAGAAAGCGGGGGACCGAAAGGCCUCGCGCGAUUGGAGCGGCCGAUGUCGGAUUAGCUAGUUGGUAGGGUAAAGGCCUACCAAGGCGACGAUCCGUAGCGGGUCUGAGAGGAUGAUCCGCCACACUGGGACUGAGACACGGCCCAGACUCCUACGGGGGGCAGCAGUGGGGAAUUUUGGACAAUGGGCGCAAGCCUGAUCCAGCAAUGCCGCGUGCAGGAUGAAGGCCUUCGGGUUGUAAACUGCUUUUGUACGGAACGAAAAGGCUCUGGUUAAUACCUGGGGCUCAUGACGGUACCGUAAGAAUAAGCACCGGCUAACUACGUG
rnacentral:rRNA from 1 species